rnacentral:rRNA from 1 species
CACGUAGGCACCAAGCGUUGUCCGGAUUUAUUGGGCGUAAAGAGCUCGUAGGCGGUUCAGUACGUCGGGUGUGAAAACUUUGGGCUUAACCCAAAGCGUGCAUCCGAUACUGCUGUGACUUGAGUUCGGUAGGGGAGUGGGGAAUUCCUAGUGUAGCGGUGAAAUGCGCAGAUAUUAGGAGGAACACCGGUGGCGAAGGCGCCACUCUGGGCCGAAACUGACGCUGAGGAGCGAAAGCAUGGGUAGCAAACAGG